CCCUUAGAUGUCCUGGGCCGCACGCGCGUUACACUGAUGCAUUCAACGAGCUUAUAACCUUGGCCGAGAGGCCUGGGCAAUCUUGUUAACGUGCAUCGUGAUAGGGAUAGAUUAUUGAAAUUAUUAAUCUUGAACGAGGAAUUCCUAGUAUACGCAGAUCAUCAAUCUGCAUUGAUUACGUCCCUGCCCUUUGUACACACCGCCCGUCGCACCUACCGAUUGGAUGGUCCGGUGAAGCCUCGGGAUUGUGGUUCUUGCCGCUUUAUUGUGGCGUGACCGCGAGAACUUGUCUAAACCUUAUCAUCUAGAGGAAGGUGAAGUCGUAACA
rnacentral:rRNA from 1 species